rnacentral:rRNA from 1 species
GAUCAUGGCUCAGGAUGAACGCUAGCGGCAGGCCUAAUACAUGCAAGUCGAGGGGUAGAGGGAGCUUGCUUCCUUGAGACCGGCGCACGAGUGCGUAACGCGUAUGCAACCUACCUUUAUCUGGGGGAUAGCCCGGAGAAAUCCGGAUUAAUACCGCAUAAAAUCACAGUAUUGCAUAAUACAAUGAUCAAACAUUUAUGGGAUGAAGAUGGGCAUGCGUGUCA